ACUUGUAUUAUGUGGCUGGCAUUCAGUACGAUAGGGAAAUUGAAUUUACAAAAGAAAAAAUAACUUCCAAGAUUAUAUGUUUGAAUGAAUCUUCUAGAAGUGGAUUUUAUUUCACACCACUAAUUAACUGAUUGACAUCAUGAGCUCUAUAAAUAAUUAUGGAUAUGAACCUAACAGCAGCCAAAUAAUAUAUCAAAAUCUAGACAGCACAGACCAACAGUCUCUUAAAAAUUUAAUAACCAUAUAUAAUUAAGUUGACGAUGGAAGUGCGGGCUUUAAAGACAGAAGUGAAGGAGCUAAAGGAAGAAAACAAAAGAAAUUUGUUGAAGCUGACACAGGAAGUUAUUGCGGUCAAAUUGGAAAACAGGGGAAAACCCUCUGAAAGUCAAAGUCCACAAUUCGACCAACUACCAUUUUACCAUAAGAAGGAUCUUGACGAUUUCGAAGCACAGCUUUUACAAAAGCCAGAGUUGAUGGAGAAAUUUAAACUACUGUCUUUUUCGUGGAGGGGCACGGCAGAUAAGCCAAGCGCGGAAAAAUGUUUAGUUACAACAAUAAUAAAAAUAUUUGCCAUGAAAUGUUUCAAGUGGACGAAAAAGCCGUUAGAUCAACAAUACAAAAACAUUUCGUUUAUGCAAACGAAAGAGUAAAAAAACGACGUCUACCUUUGGCUGAAAAUAAAUGAUUGUAUUGAGCUGUAAGGAAAAACAUGUUAAUGAA